rnacentral:lncRNA from 1 species
CUGUCCCUGAAAUUAAAAAAGCAGAUAAAAAAGAAGCUGCUGUAUCCAAAGAACUCAAAAAGCCAGCAAAAGCUCCUACAGCCAACCCAGCCAUCAAGAAAGCAGCAACACCAGGUAAGGAAGAAAAAUGUUUGCAUGCAGUGUAUUUCUUGCACUCUUGAACCAGUUUAUUGCAUCAUAGCACCAUCUGCUGGAUUGCACAUGAGCCAGUGGUUUUUGUUAGUUGUCGGGGUGACUUUUUGUCUGUUUUGCUCUAAAUCAUUGUGAUAAUUAAUAUCACAAUAUUUGCUAAGAAAAAAAUAUUUGGCACUGAUUUCUACCAUUAUGUUUGUUCUUGCCUUCCCAUGGCAGCUAUGAGGUGCCAUAUUGAGCCAUUCUGCAGGGCUUGAGAUUAAAAAAAUUAAUCUGAAUAUAAAGUCUGAGUUUAAAAGCAAUAUUUACAGAAACUAAUUUCCAUGUGAAGCUGUAUUUUAGCCCUUUGAGAAGGGGAUCUGGUAUUUCAAAGUGCUGAUCUUACAGUAGGUUGUCAAAAUGAGCUCUUGGAUAAUCAUAAAUAUUCACUGAAAAGACAAGCAAACUUUUUUAAACAAAUAAAUUCCUAUCUGAAAUUAGAUUGGAUUGUAAA